UACUCUCACACUCUCUCUGAUUAUUUUAUUAGAGCGAGCGGUGGACUUGGAUGCUGCCUGGAACUUACUGUCAGGCUCAUCUCAAAUGAGUUAGUACGACUGCUAGUUAAACAUAGUACGGCGUGAUAACAUAACCCUCGCUGUUUUACGUCUGAUUAGGAGCCUGUGCUUUCAAAUCGUCUUCGGACAAUCUCUGACA
rnacentral:misc_RNA from 1 species